UUUUAGGUUGGCGGAGGAAAGCAAUUUAUUUUCUUCCAGCAAGAAAAGCCAUAGUUCAGAUUUAGAUCCCAGCCAGGACUUUUCCACCUGCAGGUCAUUUCCACGGGUUCCCUCCGGGUGCUCCGGCUUACCCCCAAAAAGCAAGCUCAUUUCCCCUCUGGACGCUUGAGAUGCGCACGUUCCCACCUAAAUGUCACGGUCCAGCCGCAGACGUCGCCUCAGGACCUUGUCGCGUGUUCUGUCUGUACGAUUAUUAUGCAGUCUGUUUUAUAGUAAGGCAUAAUGAAACUUCAUGUACUAGCUAAGAAGAAUUCUAGAGGAGAGCAGGAUGGAGUGGGACCACCACAACCCCGACCUACCCGGUCCAUACUCUGACCCCAGCCCAGAUGACCCACGAACCGAGCGGGCCAACCAACCAUUAUUGCCUUUCUGUGUUUUCAGCCAUGUCCCUGGAACUCGAUGCACAUUCAGGGAAGUAAAGCUCCUCUGUUGUGAACAUAAUUGCAAAAUAAAAAAAAAAAAA